rnacentral:rRNA from 1 species
CCUACGGGAGGCAGCAGUGGGGGAUAUUGGACAAUGGGGGAAACCCUGAUCCAGCGACGCCGCGUGAGUGAAGAAGUAUUUCGGUAUGUAAAGCUCUGUCAGCAGGGAAGAAAAUGACGGUACCUGAGUAAGAAGCCCCGGCUAACUACGUGCCAGCAGCCGCGGUAAUACGUAGGGGGCAAGCGUUAUCCGGAUUUACUGGGUGUAAAGGGAGCGUAGACGGCAGUGCAAGUCUGGAGUGAAAGGCGGGGGCUCAACCCCCGGACUGCUCUGGAAACUGUACGGCUGGAGUGCAGGAGAGGUAAGUGGAAUUCCUAGUGUAGCGGUGAAAUGCGUAGAUAUUAGGAGGAACACCAGUGGCGAAGGCGGCUUACUGGACUGUAACUGACGUUGAGGCUCGAAAGCGUGGGGAGCAAACAGGAUUAGAUACCCGGGUAGUC